rnacentral:tRNA from 1 species
ACGACCGUAGCUCAACUGGCGAGAACGACGGAAUACCUAUCUGGAUGUCGCGAGUUCGAAUCCCACCGGCCGUG